AGAGUUUGAUCCUGGCUCAGGAUGAACGCUAGCGGCAGGCUUAAUACAUGCAAGUCGAGGGGCAGCAUGAGUAGCAAUACUUGAUGGCGACCGGCGAAAGGGUGCGUAACACGUAUGCAACUUACCUUCAACUGGGGCAUAACGCUGAGAAAUUGGUGCUAAUUCCCCAUAAUGUUUCGAAGAGACAUCUCUUUGAUAUUAAAGUUCCGACGGUUGAAGAUGGGCAUGCGCGACAUUAGCUAGUUGGAGAGGUAACGGCUCACCAAGGCGACGAUGUCUAGGGGUUCUGAGAGGAUUAACCCCCACACUGGUACUGAGACACGGACCAGACUCCUACGGGAGGCAGCAGUAGGGAAUAUUGGGCAAUGGACGCAAGUCUGACCCAGCCAUGCCGCGUGCAGGAUGAAAGCCCUAUGGGUUGUAAACUGCUUUUGUACGGGAAGAAACUCCCCGACGUGUCGGGGACUGACGGUACUGUAAGAAUAAGCAUCGGCUAACUCCGUGCCAGCAGCCGCGGUAAUACGGAGGAUGCAAGCGUUAUCCGGAUUUAUUGGGUUUAAAGGGUGCGCAGGCGGACUGGUAAGUCAGUGGUGAAAUCCUACGGCCUAACUGUAGAACUGCCAUUGAUACUGCCAGCCUUGAGUUCAGUUGGAGUGGCUGGAAUGUGUCAUGUAGCGGUGAAAUGCUUAGAUAUGACACAGAACACCGAUCGCGAAGGCAGGUCACUAAGCUGAUACUGACGCUCAUGCACGAAAGCGUGGGGAUCAAACAGGAUUAGAUACCCUGGUAGUCC
rnacentral:rRNA from 1 species